UUUCCACUAAGGCAGCAGACCAGGUACUGGACAUGGUGGAUCUGCAGGGUCUGCUAGCAGCUCCGAAGAGAAAGAGACUCAACUUCAGAUCACAACAAUUAGGACCUGUGGAAAUCACCCCGUAGUUCCUAAUGGUGAUGUUGUGGAAAACAAUCCAAUGUUUUUGAGGUACCAGUGUGCUGCAUUUUACAAACGAACGGGUCCACAGAGUGUGGUGUGUUACAGCAACGGGAAAUGGUCAGAAACACCCACCUGCAAAGCUGCCUUCUGUUCUGUGGACACUGGUGACUAUCCUGAAUUAAUACCUGCUGGAGUUAAAUAUAUAAAAGAGGGUGAGAAGGCGAGAUUGGAAUGUGUGCAUCAGGAGCGAUGGUGGACGACUCAUUAUUCUGUGGCUCGCUGCAAUAAUGGAAGAAAGACACUUUCCAGAUGUUGUGACUGGUGGGACCUGAAGAGGGACAUUUGCUAAAGCUGUUUCACCAAGAGGAAGAUAACUGCCACCUUUGGAUUUGCUCACCACCGACUGAAAACAGCCUGGAAACCUUUCAGAGACGACUAAGUUACGAUUAUGCUGUUACACACUGUGUUUUUAUAUUAAUCUGCUUACAUCAUUUAGAAGCAAUGCUGUGCUUAAAGCUGCAAAAAUUAACUCAACAUUUAAAUAUGGUGUGUAAUUGACAUGCAGGCCUCAAUAAAGUCUUCUGCUGAGGUUUCAACGCUGUUCUUUCUAAA